ACUGCGUACCUUUUGUAUAAUGGGUCAGCGACUUACGUUGUGUUGCGAGCUUAACUGGAUAAGGGAGGCGAAGCGAAAGCGAGUCUGAAAAGGGCGAUAAGUAGCAUGAUGUAGACCCGAAACCGGAUGAUCUAUCCAUGGCCAGGUUGAAGGUUUGGUAAUACAAACUGGAGGACCGAACCCACUAACGUUGAAAAGUUAGGGGAUGAGCUGUGGAUAGGGGUGAAAGGCUAAACAAAUCCGGAGAUAGCUGGUUCUCCCCGAAAGCUAUUUAGGUAGCGCGUUACAUAUUACUUGCGGGGGUAAAGCACUGUUAUGGCUAGGGGGUCAUUGCGACUUACCAAACCAUGGCAAACUCUGAAUACCGCAAAGUAGAGUGUAGCAGACAGACGGUGGGUGCUAACGUUCAUCGUCAAGAGGGAAACAACCCAGACCGUCGGCUAAGGUCCCGAAGACGCAAUUUAGUGGGAAACGAGGUGGGAAGGCAUAGACAGCUAGGAGGUUGGCUUAGAAGCAGCCAUCCUUUAAAGAAAGCGUAAUAGCUCACUAGUCGAGUCGUCCUGCGCGGAAGAUGUAACGGGGCUCAAAUUGUGCACCGAAGCUGCGGAUAUCUUUUGAUAUGGUAGGGGAGCGUUCUGUAGGUCUGUGAAGAGGGAGUGAGAACUUUCUUGGAGAUAUCAGAAGUGCGAAUGCUGACAUGAGUAGCGAUAAAGGGGGUGAAAGGCCUCCUCGCCGAAAAUCUAAGGUUUCCUGUGCAACGUUCAUCGGCGCAGGGUUAGUCGGCACCUAAGGCGAGGCUGAGAAGCGUAGCUGAUGGCAAACGGGUUAAUAUUCCCGUACCGAAUAUGAGUAUGCGAUGUGGGGACAAAGUGGGUUAGGUCUGCUAUCUGUUGGAAUAGAUAGUCUAAGCGUGUAGGAGCACCUUGUAGGCAAAUCCGCAAGGCGAGUCUGAGGCGUGAUGGGGAGCCGAUCUUUGAUUGGCGAAGGGAUUGACACCGUGCUUUCAGGAAAAGCCACUAAGUGGUAGCUUAUAUUUGACCGUACCGCAAACCGACACAGGUAGAUGGGAUGAGUAUUCUAAGGCGCUUGAGAGAAUAGAGGAGAAGGAACUCGGCAAAAUUGCACCGUAACUUCGGGAGAAGGUGUGCCCUGAUGAUGUGAAGAGUUUGCACUUGGAGCAGUAAGGGGUUGCAAUGAAAAGGUGGCUGCGACUGUUUAAUAAAAACACAGCACUCUGCAAAGACGAAAGUCGACGUAUAGGGUGUGACGCCUGCCCGGUGCCGGAAGGUUAAGUGAUGGGGUGCAAGCUCUUGAUCGAAGCCCCGGUAAACGGCGGCCGUAACUAUAACGGUCCUAAGGUAGCGAAAUUCCUUGUCGGGUAAGUUCCGACCUGCACGAAUGGCGUAACGAUGGCCACGCUGUCUCCUCCUCUAACUCAGCGAAGUUGAAAUGUUUGUGAAGAUGCAAUCUUCCCGCGGCAAGACGGAGAGACCCCAUGAACCUUUACUGUAGCUUUGCACUGGACUUUGAGCCGGUUUGUGUAGGAUAGGUGGGAGACUAUGAAGGUAGGACGCUAGUUUUACUGGAGUCAUCCUUGAAAUACCACCCUGAUUUGUUUGGAGUUCUAACCUAGGAGAGUGAAGCCUCUUCGGGGACCGUGCAUGGUGGGCAGUUUGACUGGGGCGGUCUCCUCCCAAAGGGUAACGGAGGAGUACGAAGGUACGCUUAGGGCGGUCGGACAUCGCCUGUAAAGUGCAAUGGCAAAAGCGUGCUUAACUGUGAGAGAGACAACUCGAA
rnacentral:rRNA from 1 species